rnacentral:lncRNA from 1 species
UUUAGAUAAGCAUGACAACCGUAAACAUUGAGUAGUAUUGCAUUCCAACUCAUUUCAACCACAUAUAAUUACUAUCAUAUGAUUAGGAUUUCAACCCAAAUGAUUAACUAAAACCACGUCUGGUCAUUUAAAAUUGUUUCUCAUUUAACAUAAUCUUAACUAUAUAUUUGAAAAUUCCACGGUCGUAGUUGGUUUUUAUCUUCAAAAAUUACACGGAUAAUAUAUUUAAUCAAUCAAUAUUUAUAUACAAGGAGUUUGGAUUGGGUUUACAGAAUAGAGAAUAAUGGACGAAAAAAUAAAUAAAGAAUGAUAUGGGCGAGAAAAAUAAAGAAUAAAGAAAUAUGACCAAAAUAAAUAUAAAGAAUAGUGAAAUAGGGACUGGUAAAAUAUAUCGAAUAGAGAAAUAUACGGCUGCUUAAAUAUAAGGAAUUAAGAAUUAUGGGAUGUUAAACUAUAAAAAAAUUAUAAAGGAAUACAAACAAAUACGACUGUUACAGUAUAUAAUUGCAGUAGCAUUUUUUUGUUUGUUUGUGCACGUGCAAGAAUUAUGUCCGUGCAGAGAAACAAGAACCGGUUUGAACCGGUAUAAAUGAGAUGAUUCUGGCUCUGUAGGUGGCCGGCUCUUAGCAUACGGUCCAAUCAAACAAGUUUUAUGUCUAUAUAGUCCUUAACAUAAAAUUAUGAUGAAGAUUACUAAAUGCUUAAGGAAGAAAGAUGAUCAGGAGGAUUCAUUAAUUAUACAGAAACACAAAAAAUUGUAUUGACUAUAAUAAUUAUUUCAACCGUAUAGAAGAUAAAUUAGUCUACUGUACUUAUAUAGUUAUACACAACACAUUUUAGCCUAUUGCAAGGCAAAAUUUAUGUUCCUAUCCAAUAUACCCUUUAUCCCGCGGGGUGGCCUCUUUUACAAGAC